AUAGGGUGACUAGCAAGCCAUCUUACCGGAGGAGGGACAUCACUGAAGCAGAGACGUUAGGACAGCUCUCCCAAAACUGGCCUCCCUUUUUGCUCGAAGGUCCAGUCUGUAAUGUCUUAUGAAAGUGGAGGCUCUGUACCAUGUAGCAGCUUUGCAGAUGUCCACUAGGUUCACUCGUCUCAACAGAGUUGUAGAAGUUGACAUUGCUUGUGUGGAGUGGUCCUUGAUACCAGUAGGAGGAGUUUUGCCUGCCAUCUCAUAAGCAAGAGUAAUGGUGGAAACCAGCCACCGUGACAAAGUUUGAGACCAGGCUGUGCGGCCCUUGCAUUGUCUGUGAAAACAGACAAAGAGGUUGUUGGAGAGACGGAAGUCUUUAGUCCGUGAGAUAUAAAACGCCAAUGCCCGACGUACAUCAAGGCUGUGGAGUAAUCGCUCAGCUGGAGAGGACGGGCUGGGGAAAAGUGAAGGAGGGCGAUAGGACUGACGCCUCUGACCCUGGGUUUGAGAGCGGAAGGGAAGAGCCCCGGAGGAAGAAUGAAGGAGUCGAGAUUGAGACUGCUGUUUGAACGACCGGCUCCUUGGUAGAUUUAGCUGACUUGGAGGAUGGUUUGCCGGCAGGAGCCUCUUUAGAUGUGCCCUGAGCGGGAUUGCUAGACGGAUCAGUUGGUGCUCUAGAAUAUUCCGAGAAGCCCGGCGCAGGCGCGGACUUAACCCUAUCGUGUGCAUUCACAGAGGCCACAAAGAAGAAUAAUGGGCUACAAUAGAUUUUCUGUGUGCCAGAGAAGGAAAAUCUUCAUAGCUCUUGGGCUACGAAAGAAAGUAGGA